CACAUAUCUUUAUAACUAAGGGGUUUUUUAAUUCUAUGCUUUUUCUUCCUCCCUUCCUGUUUACUUUGUUACUCCCAUGUUCCUCUUACUAGUUUCCCUUCCCUGUCACCCAUGAUUCAUCACUUUAGCCUUGCCCAACAGUGUGACUGGUGUUUACAGAGCUAAAAGGCAGUGUGCAGGAGUAGAGAGGUUUUGUAGAUGAAGCGGACUAAAUGCAAAUCCCAUUUCUGGCAUUUCUUGAAUCUGCGACCUUGGGGAAAAUAGGUGAAACUCUUGAUUCAGAGCAAACUACACAGACUAUGCAAGAUGCAGGAAACAAAAGAAUUCUUGGGCUGACGGUUUGUAUCCUAGCUGUUUACCAAGUAUGUAUAGGCAUGGAGACUUCAGGCUUUGUCUGUUUAAUAACUGUACUUGAUCUUAGCAUGUCCCUGACCAUACUCUGCUAGGUUGUAUGCCUUAUGGUUGGUAAAGUCUCCAUUUAUUACUGUGAGUGGAAUUCUCUUGUGUAUAGAAGAGAGCUGGUAAAUAUUUUGCUAGAGGGAAUCUCCAUGGUGAAU
rnacentral:lncRNA from 1 species